GCCCUUAUAGCUCAGUGGUGGAGCGUCGUUCUUGUAAACUGAAGGUCCGUAUUUCAAUCCCAGCGUGAGGGCA
rnacentral:tRNA from 1 species